UUCGCCUUUCUUACUUCUUCAGCUUAACUGCAAAUCUCCAAGCAUCAAACCUGGGCCUCAGCAGACUUAGCUUCAAGAUUCAGCUUAAGGUUGCCAUCAUCAUCAUAUUGUAGAUUCUCAAAACGUUAAAGGCCUAAAGGAUAUUACGGAGUAGCACAAACAAGCAAGAGAGUCACUGUCCAAAUUGAACAGAUCAGGCGCAAAAAGGAAAGAGUUCCUGUUUUUGUUUCCCACAUGAUUUGAUUCUGCCUAAUAAUUCCAGGAUUCCACUCUUUGACAAGUCCCAUUGUCUUUUCCUUUCCAAAACUUGCAUUUCAACAUUACAAGAUUCUAUAACAUCUGCUAUUUUUUUCAAACAAGGCAUUCUUUGGAAUUUAAAUCAGCUACUUAAAAAGUUCAUAUUCUUCGCUUACACCUAAACAGCAAUUCAACAAACAUUUUAACAUACAUAUGGCCUAUACUGAAGAAAUUACCUCUGCACCAAACACCAAAACGGCCCACAUCGCCAAUGGUUGCCUUAUGGUUUUCUUCAGUUUCAUGGUUUUUGUAUGCCUGCUCAAAUGCUGCUGCUCUAAACAGGAAGAAUUUUCACCAGAUUUACCAAGGCAAAGCACAGAAAAGCCUGAACAGCCCUCAACUACAGCAGCUGAUCAACAGGAUCAUAGUAUGGUUGUGAUCAUGCCCGGGGACCGAACUCCGACCUGCUUAGCAAUGCCUGUCAUGUCUUCACCUCACCAUACUGAUAAAGUGUGACUAAUUUUUAGAUCUUACUUUAUCGGUCCCCAGCCAGAAUAAAAGAGGAGGAUAGCAGUAGGUUGACAUGUAGUGCAAAACUAGUCAAAUUACCAUGAGUCCUGACUAUACAUAUUAUGAUGAUUCAUAUAUAUUUAUUCUAACUCUAACUAGCUUGGGAUUGAGA